rnacentral:rRNA from 1 species
UUGCAGUUAAAAAGCUCGUAGUUGGAUUUCUGCGGGGGCGGGGCGGCCGGUUGCUUAUAGCAACUCGAGCUAGCACUUCCCCUGCAUCCUGCCGCGAACCGUGCUACCAUUAGUUUGGUGGCGCCGGGGAUCGGCUCGUUUUCUUUGAGAAAAAUAGAGUGUUCAAAGCAGGCCACACGCCUUGAAUAAGUUAGCAUGGAAUAAUGAUAAAGGACUUCGGUUCUAUUUUGUUGGUGUUCGGGACUGAAGUAAUGAUUGAUAGGGACAGUUGGGGCGGUCCGUAUUCCAAAGCGAGAGGUGAGAUUCUUAGACCUUCGGAAGACGAACAGCUGCGAAAGCGUUCCGCAAGGAUGUUCCCUUUGAUCAAGAACGAAAGUUGGGGGAUCGAAGACGAUCAGAUACCGUCGUAGUCUCAACUAUAAACUAUACCAGCUAGGGAUCGGCCAACGUUUAAUUACACCGACUUGGUCGGCACCUUAUGAGAAAUCCAAAGCAUCUGGGUUCCGGGGGG